UACGGAGGGGGGCUAGCGUUGCUCGGAAUCACUGGGCGUAAAGGGUGCGUAGGCGGCGCGGUAAGUCGGGUGUGAAAUCUCGGAGCUUAACUCCGAAACUGCAUUCGAUACUGCCGUGCUUGAGGACUGGAGAGGAGACUGGAAUUUACGGUGUAGCGGUGAAAUGCGUAGAUAUCGUAAGGAAGACCAGUGGCGAAGGCGGGUCUCUGGACAGUUCCUGACGCUGAGGCACGAAGGCCAGGGGAGCAAACGGG
rnacentral:rRNA from 1 species